GACAGAGGGUGCAAACGUUGUUCGGAAUUACUGGGCGUAAAGCGCACGUAGGCGGACUGAUAAGUCAGGGGUGAAAUCCCGGGGCUCAACCCCGGAACUGCCUUUGAUACUGUCAGUCUAGAGUUCGAGAGAGGUGAGUGGAAUUCCGAGUGUAGAGGUGAAAUUCGUAGAUAUUCGGAGGAACACCAGUGGCGAAGGCGGCUCACUGGCUCGAUACUGACGCUGAGGUGCGAAAGCGUGGGGAGCAAACAGG
rnacentral:rRNA from 1 species